ensembl:lncRNA
CAGACACGUUCAUGUCUAUCCCUACCAGACACGUUCAUGUCUAUCCCUACCAGACACGUUCAUGUCUAUCCCUACCAGACACGUUCAUGACACGUAGGUUAAAAUUCCAAAACCAACUUUUAAUUAAUAUAUUAAUUUGGGGACAGGUCGAAACACACAUGAAACAUUUGCUGUUGCUAGCUAAUUUGUCUGGGAGAUAAACAUUGGGUUGCUAUUUAGUUUUGUUCAUCUUUCUUAUGUGGAUUUUAUAUGGCUGUGUGGACCUUGUUCAUCUUCCAAUCACUCACGUGGGUAUAUGCUUGUAAAAACCAAUGAGUAGAUGGUAAGGCGGGACUUACAGCGCAUUAAGCGUCUAAAAUAGAACCAAGUUCUAUUUUAGUGCCUGGCUAUGCAGACGGCCGUUGAUGCGCAUGAGCAGUUUGGAUUAAAUGAUUGAAUAGCAUGUAUGUGGACAUUUAUUUUCCAACACACAAGCGGACAUUUUGGUCAGUAUGUUAGACAGAGACUCAUUUUCGGGACACAUUUUGGGGACUCGUUUUCAAUGGUAAAUCUUUCUUUUCUUCUUAUAUAAUCUAUUUGGAAGACUGCACUUCUACAUUGAAUACACUGUGUAAAUAUUGCCAUGGGAUGAUUUUGAACUUUGAACUCUAGGUAAUGAAAAGGGGGCAGUCAGUCAGUGAUCACCCAGCAUAGCUUUAAGAAUGUUCAGCCAAAGUCUUGUUUUCUACAAUCGCUGUUUUUUUUAUACUUUAUUUUUCUUUUUGACCAGAUUGUUUUAAACUAUUAUUGUCAGGUGAAUGUAUUUCCAUACUUUCCAUCUCCCCAAAAUAGCAAAUGUUGUUGCAUGUAAAUGUGGACAGAGAAUGCAAAGAACUUGAAGCGUCGCUAAGAUUGUCCUUCUUCUAUUGCCAUGGUUGUGCUGUUGUUGAUCUCUUAUUGAACCGGUUGCCCUUCCAUUCCGUAGGUGAACAGAUACUCCAUCCGCUAGAAACACCCCAAUCUUUUUGUUUGUUUGCUGUUUUGUUAUUAACCUUGGCACGACUGUACUACAGAAGCAGACCAACAGGUCUGUAUGUCUGAGGUGGAUGGCGAACUAAAGAACAGCCAGACAGUCCUGGCACAGUUUGGUUUCUCUGUUGGACAAGCCCAUUGCUGCUUCUGACCAAUCUGUAAGACCUUUCCUCUUAUUGCACAUGUUUCAAUUAUGACUCAUGUAUGACCAAAUGAAACAUGCCAAGGCAUUGGGCAAUAACUGUUGACUGUAAAGGACUGCAUUGCUUCUCUAAAGCGUUGUCUUUCUUAGAUAGCUUUCUUUUCAUUGGGUUUGAAAACUGGAAUAUCACAUUUGAAAGUCAUAACCCCUUUAUUUUACAUAGGCCGAUGUUUACCCGAACCAGUUCUUGUGUUUUAAUACAUUUUCAAUUGCAUCUAAUUGCGAAAAGACAGAAAAAUAACUUUCUGUAAUUGAUAUGAUACACCGUAAUAGACACUGGUGUUAUUUUUGUAUAAACAUAAUAUCAUCUGUGUGGCAUGCAUGAUGUAUAAACAACUUGGUGGUUUAAAGCAAUAUGUCCAACCUGGUAGGAUUGGUACUUUCGUGUUCUGUGUAGCCUAAACCACGCUGUACUAGAGAGAAGAAAAAAAUGCCAUUUGUAAAAAAGCUAGCUGUUCAAUGUUCUGCAUGUUUAAGUAUGGAAUGAGACAUCCCAAAUGUUUAACUGCUUCCAAAACUCCCACAUUUUGACUGAGUUGCUGUCCCAGUGAAACACACUGAGAGGAUGCUGCCUUGAAAAUAUAGGAUGGAAUGGAGGAGAGAUGGGACGGGGUGGAGGAGGGAUGGGGUGGGUGGAUGAAUGGGGUGGA